UACGUAGGGUGCAAGCGUUGUCCGGAAUUAUUGGGCGUAAAGAGCUUGUAGGCGGUUUGUCGCGUCUGCUGUGAAAUUUCGGGGCUCAACCCCGAACUUGCAGUGGGUACGGGCAGACUAGAGUGUGGUAGGGGAGACUGGAAUUCCUGGUGUAGCGGUGAAAUGCGCAGAUAUCAGGAGGAACACCUGCGGCGAAGGCGGGUUGCUGGGCUGACACUGACGCUGAGGCGCGACAGCGUGGGGAGCGAACUGG
rnacentral:rRNA from 1 species